rnacentral:rRNA from 1 species
UACGGAGGGGGCUAGCGUUGUUCGGAAUUACUGGGCGUAAAGCGCGCGUAGGCGGACCUGCAGGUCGGGGGUGAAAGCCCGAGGCUCAACCUCGGAACUGCCUUCGAUACUGCGGGUCUCGAGUCCGGGAGAGGUGAGUGGAAUUCCUAGUGUAGAGGUGAAAUUCGUAGAUAUUCGGAAGAACACCAGUGGCGAAGGCGGCUCACUGGCCCGGUACUGACGCUGAGGUGCGAAAGCGUGGGGAGCGAACGGG